rnacentral:rRNA from 1 species
UGAGGAAUAUUGGUCAAUGGGCGAGAGCCUGAACCAGCCAAGUAGCGUGAAGGAUGACUNGCCCUAUGGGUUGUAAACUUCUUUUAUAUGGGAAUAAAGUGCAGUAUGUAUACUGCUUUGCAUGUACCUUAUGAAUAAGGAUCGGCUAACUCCGUGCCAGCAGCCGCGGUAAUACGGAGGAUCCGAGCGUUAUCCGGAUUUAUUGGGUUUAAAGGGAGCGUAGGCGGGUUGUUAAGUCAGUUGUGAAAGUUUGCGGCUCAACCGUAAAAUUGCAGUUGAUACUGGAUAUCUUGAGUGCAGUUGAGGCAGGCGGAAUUCGUGGUGUAGCGGUGAAAUGCUUAGAUAUCACGAAGAACUCCGAUUGCGAAGGCAGCCUGCUAAGCUGCAACUGACAUUGAGGCUCGAAAGUGUGGGUAUCAAACA